CACGGGGGGAACGCGAAGAACCUUACCAGGUCUUGACAUACCGUUGACCGUCCUAGAGAUAGGAUUUUCCCUUCGGGGACAAUGGAUACAGGUGGUGCAUGGUUGUCGUCAGCUCGUGUCGUGAGAUGUUGGGUUAAGUCCCGCAACGAGCGCAACCCCUGUCGUUAGUUGCCAGCAUUCAGUUGGGGACUCUAACGAGACUGCCAGUGACAAACUGGAGGAAGGUGGGGAUGACGUCAAACCAUCAUGCCCCUUAUGACCUGGGCUACACACGUGCUACAAUGGUUGGUACAAAGAGAAGCGAAGCGGUGACGUGGAGCAAACCUCAUAAAGCCAAUCUCAGUUCGGAUUGUAGGCUGCAACUCGCCUACAUGAAGUUGGAAUCGCUAGUAAUCGCGAAUCAGAAUGUCGCGGUGAAUACGUUCCCGGGUCUUGUACACACCG
rnacentral:rRNA from 1 species